GACGUAGGGUGCGAGCGUUGUCCGGAAUUAUUGGGCGUAAAGAGCUCGUAGGCGGUCUGUCGCGUCUGCUGUGAAAAACUCGGGGGCUUAACCCCGGGCCUGCAGUGGGUACGGGCAGACUAGAGUGCGGUAGGGGAGACUGGAAUUCCUGGUGUAGCGGUGAAAUGCGCAGAUAUCAGGAGGAACACCGGUGGCGAAGGCGGCAUCCUGGACCAACACUGACGCUGAUGAGCGAAAGCCAGGGGAGCAAACGGG
rnacentral:rRNA from 1 species